rnacentral:lncRNA from 1 species
GAAAGAAGAGAGGGACCACAGAGAGAAUUUUUAGAGGCCUCUCACCAUCAGGAUGGGACUAUAUAAGGAGAACAAAGAAUAUGUUAAAAGGGGAGGAAACCCUAAGAAUCGUUUUUCGACGGCGAGGAGAAUAUCAAAACCCUAACGAAAUCAAGAAGGAGAAGAAGGAGAUAACCUAGACUUUGUGCUUUUCCGCAGAGAAGACGCGAGAUUCCAUUUGAACGCCGUCGGAGAAUCAAACGCGCCGGAGUUUAGAGGACCCAACAUCACCGUCAAUAUCUUCGUGGAAAGGUAAGCCUAAAACUUAAUUCUGGUCUGGUCUUUGCUCUCCAUUCCUUUUGACUUAUGCUUCAUCAUCGUCUUUCCUUGCUGUACUAUCUUUGGGUGUUGCUGUGCGUUUCCCUUCAUGUUUCGACUCUUCCAUUUUUUUUUCUUCUGUGAUCGUUUGCUCCUACUUGAGGAAAGGUCAUGUUUUGGUUAGGAUAUUUUGUUUCACUUUUUAAAACUAAUA